GACGAACGCUGGCGGCGUGCUUAACACAUGCAAGUCGAACGGAAAGGCCCUUCGGGGUCCUCGCGUGGCGAACGGGUGAGUGAGACGUGGGUGAGCUGCUCUGCACUUUGUGAUAAGCCUGGGAAACUGGGUCUAAUACCGAAUAGGACCGCGAGCUUUUUGGUGGGUGGGGUCAAGCUUUUGCGGCGUGUGAUGGGCCCGCGGCCUAUCGGCUUGUUGGUGGGGUAAUGGCUUGCCAAGGCGAAGACUGGUAGCCCGCCGGUGAGGGUGACCGGGCACACUGCGACUACGAGACGGCGCAGACGCCUACGGGAGGCAGCAGUGGGGAACAUGGCACAACGGGGGCAAGCGUGAUGCAGCGACGUCGCGUGAGUGAUGACGGCUUUCGGGUUGUAAACAUCUUUCUCCAGGGACGAAGCGCAAGUGACGGUACCUGGAGAAGAAGCACCGGCCAACUACGUG
rnacentral:rRNA from 1 species